AUUCCUUUCCUCCGCCAUUUUCAACCUUCGAGCUCGCCUCUUUCCCUCCCAUGGCUCCUCCGCGAAUUCUCCUCUGCGGCGACGUCUUAGGCCGCCUCAACCAGCUCUUCAAACGAGUCGCUUCGGUCAAUAAAUCGGCUGGUCCAUUCGACGCCCUACUAUGCGUGGGCCAGUUCUUCCCGGACUCGCCGGACCGGCUCGCCGAGUUCGCGGACUACCUCGAAGGCCGGUCCGAAAUCCCUCUCCCAACUUACUUCAUCGGCGACUAUGGCAUCGCCGCUGCUAAAUUCCUUUUAGCCGCUUCGAAGGACCCAGCGAACCAGGGAUUCAAGAUGGACGGCUUGAAGAUUCGCGAGAAUCUCUUCUGGUUGAAAGGCAGUGGCAAGUUUACACUCCACGGAUUAUGUGUGGCGUAUUUAUCUGGUAGGAAUUCUGCGGAUGGCCAACAGUUUGGGACGUAUAGUCAGGAUGAUGUUGAUGCAUUGCGCGCAAUUGCGGAGGAACCUGGACUUGUUGAUUUAUUUCUUACUAACGAAUGGCCAAGUGGGGUCACAAAUAGAGCAUCAACUUCUGGCCUUCCACCUGGGGUAUCAGAAUCUUCAAGUAGUGAUUCCACAGUAGCAGAGUUAGUUGCAGAGAUCAAGCCGCGCUAUCACAUUGCAGGCACCAAAGGUGUGUUCUAUGACCGUGAACCUUACUCCAAUGUCGAUGCUGUGUAUGUGACCCGCUUCUUGGGUCUGGCACCUGUUGGAAAUAAGGAUAAACAGAAAUUUAUUCAUGCAAUUUCUCCCACUCCAGCAUCAAUGAUGUCUGCUUCUGACAUUAGUGCGAAGCCAGCAGGCACUACCUUAUCUCCAUACACAGUACAGGAAAUGGUAGAUGGAAGAGAAGCUGCAAAGAGAUCCAACGAUGGUGUUUCUGAUUCACAGUACUGGAGAUAUGAUGUCUCACAAAAACGACAGAAACAUGGAGCCAUAGAUGGUAAUAAGCUUUGUUUUAAAUUUGUUUCCUCUGGCUCUUGUCCACGAGGGGAAAAAUGUCACUUUCAACAUGAUGUGGAUGCGAGGGAACAAUCUAUGAGGGGUGUUUGUUUUGAUUUUCUCAACAAGGGAAAAUGUGAAAGGGGUCCAGAUUGCAACUUCAAGCACAGCUUACAAGAUGAAGGUGAGGGAUAUUCUCACAGGAGACGUGGAUCUGAAAAUGCUUCAACUGACAGAUCGAAAGAAUGCUGGUUUUGUCUCUCAAGCCCCAAUGUAGAGUCGCAUUUGAUCAUCAGUAUAGGAGAAAAUUUCUACUGUGCAUUGCCUAAAGGUCCACUCGUACAAGACCACGUGUUGGUAAUUCCUGUGGAGCAUUUGCCUAAUACCCUCUCUCUACCACAAAAGUCUGAAAUUGAGCUCGGUAGAUUCCAGAAUAGCCUCAGGAAGUAUUAUAAGAGCCAAGGGAAAGAUGUUGUUUUCUUCGAGUGGGUGUCUAAAAGAAGUACUCAUGCUAAUCUCCAGGCUAUCCCUGUUCCAUCAUCCAAGGCAGCUGCUCUGCAAAAUAUAUUUAAUUUAGCUGCUGAUAAGCUUGGCUUCAAAUUUGCGAUCAAGAAAUUCAAUAACAAUUCUGAUGGAAGAAAUUAUUUGAAGACUCAGUUUGACAAGAAUUUUAGUUUCUUCUAUAUUGAACUCCCUGACGGUACCAUUUUAUCACAUGUGGUGGAGGAAAACGAGAAAUUCCCAGCUCAAUUUGGGCGUGAGGUUCUGGCAGGCUUGCUAAAGAUAGCAGAUAGAGCUGAUUGGAGGAAUUGUACUUAUAGCAAAGAAGAAGAAACGAAAAUGGUCACUGACUUCAAGAGUCAAUUCCAAGAAUUUGAUUCAAACGGAUGAUUUUUCACGGAAGGUCUCAUUUUGGUCCAUAUCAUGCUUUUGCUUGAUCGAUUGAUCUUUAUCAUUCAACAUGCACCUAACUUCAGGCACUUUUUACCAUUUGCCGGGUACCCAUUGCUUAGUUUUUGGCAAUGUUGCCUUUCGAAAAUGCAUGGGUAUUAGGUAAUAUAGAUGACACGCACUAUUUGGAUGACAACCAUCCUGGUUGGUCUCAAUUCUGAGUCUCCGACGCCCCUACACAAGCUCACAGAGUCACAGCAGUCUUUUUAUCAUCAAUGGGGUUGCUCGUCUCCUGCGCGCCCUCUUUGCAAAUUGCAAUGUUUCUUUGCAGUGGAAGAAAGGAGUGAUUCAGUGGGGAAGAGCUGUGGGUCUCACUUGCAUUCAUCUAAAGGACGUCUCUUGACUCUUUUGAACAACCACUAUUAGAACUAUGGUACUAGACUUCCUUAAGGGCCGGCCCGCAAGAACUAGGCGGCCGCGGAGUCCGAUCUCGGGGCGUGGACAAUUGCUGUUAAUUAGCAUUUCCUCUGAUCUGCGGGGAAGAGGAAAGUUGUAAAGGUAAACGGUUCCUUGAGAGUUAGGUCAAGAGCCA